GACGAACGCUGGCGGCGUGCCUAAUACAUGCAAGUCGAACGCUUCUUUUCCCACCGGAGCUUGCUCCACCGGGAAAAGAGGAGUGGCGAACGGGUGAGAAACACGUGGGUAACCUGCCCAUCAGAAGGGGAUAACACUUGGAAACAGGUGCUAAUACCGUAUAACAAUCGAAACCGCAUGGUUUCGUUUUGAAAGGCGCUUUACGGUGCCGCUGAUGGAUGGACCCGCGGUGCAUUAGCUAGUUGGUGAGGUAACGGCUCACCAAGGCCACGAUGCAUAGCCGACCUGAGAGGGCGAUCGGCCACAUUGGGACUGAGACACGGCCCAAACUCCUACGGGAGGCAGCAGUAGGGAAUCUUCGGCAAUGGACGAAAGUCUGACCGAGCAACGCCGCGUGAGUGAAGAAGGUUUUCGGAUCGUAAAACUCUGUUGUUAGAGAAGAACAAGGGUGAGAGUAACUGUUCACCCCUUGACGGUAUCUAACCAGAAAGCCACGGCUAACUACGUGCCAGCCGCCGCCGUAA
rnacentral:rRNA from 1 species